AUUUUCCCCACUACCCAAGAGGCUGCCUUGGGAGUGGUCAUAGUUUCCAAGUCUUUUUUCUUAACAUUGUAGCUGUGUACCCAUUUUAUCCACAAGCAGUCUUUCUUGUUGGCUAAGUUCCAGAGCUGUUUGCUUAUUGCAGCCCUGUUCCAUAGUGUCAUGUCAAUGAUGUUGAGUCCACCAACAGAUACAGGCUUGCACACUUUCUCCCAUGCCACUGGAGCUUUUCUGGAUAGAGUAACAUUACCAGUCCAUAAGAAGGUUAAUAGGUCUGCAAACUUUCUCCCAUGCCACUGGAGCUUUCCUGGACAGAGUAACAUUGCCAGUCCAUAAGAAGGUUCUGCAUAUGUUCUC
rnacentral:lncRNA from 1 species